rnacentral:rRNA from 1 species
AUUGAACGCUGGCGGCAGGCCUAACACAUGCAAGUCGAGCGAGCGGCGGACGGGUGAGUAAUGUAUGGGGACUGCCCGAUAGAGGGGGAUAACUACUGGAAACGGUAGCUAAUACCGCAUACUAUCGGAUAACCCAUAUGGGAUUAGCUAGUAGGUGAGGUAAUGGCUCACCUAGGCGACGAUCCCUAGCUGGUCUGCGAGGAUGAUCAGCCACACUGGGACUGAGACACGGCCCAGCAUCCUACGGAGGCAGGAGUAGGGAAGAUGGCACAAUGGGCGCACGCCUUAUGCAGCGAUGCCGCGUGUAUGAAGAAGGCCCUAGGUUUGUAAAGUACUUUCAGUCGGGAGGCGUUCCCGACAGAAGAAGCACCGGCUAACUCAGUGCCAGCAGCCGCGGUAAUUC